AACAGAACCAACCAAUGUUAGUGUACCCACUGUUCCUUUGACCGGCACAAAACCUCCCCCUGGAAAAGCUUAUCUCACUGUUCUGAAAAUGAACAUCCCGACUGCUUUGUCACUGAAAGACAAUCCUGACAAAAUCCUCAAAAUGAUAAAGGAUACACUGGUUGAAAAAGGGCUCCCACCAGGUAUAACUUUAUGCCGGCUGAGUAACAAUUCAACUGGAGGGCAGAGAAAAUGUCUCCCCCAUGUGCUCAAAAACGACUAGAAUCCUUGCAUUUCUUUUAUUCCAAUAAUAGAAGUGUGGCUCUGGGAUCCUAUUUAUCUCUUGGAAGGAUUUUGUGUUGGCCCCAAUUUAAGG